rnacentral:tRNA from 1 species
GCCGCUAUAGCUCAGUGGCAGAGCACUGGUCUCGUAAACCAGGGGUCGUGAGUUCGAUCCUCACUGGCGGCA